rnacentral:rRNA from 1 species
GACAGAGGGGGCAAGCGUUGCUCGGAAUCACUGGGCGUAAAGGGCGCGUAGGCGGGAUGGCAAGUCGGUCGUGAAAUCCUUCGGCCCAACCGAAGAACGUCGGCCGAUACUGCCGUUCUUGAGGGAUGCAGAGGAGACUGGAAUUCCCGGUGUAGCGGUGAAAUGUGUAGAGAUCGGGAGGAACACCGGUGGCGAAGGCGGGUCUCUGGGCCGAUACUGACGCUGAGGAGCGAAAGCGUGGGGAGCGAACAGG